AUUGAACGCUGGCGGCAGGCCUAACACAUGCAAGUCGAACGAGUGGCGGACGGGUGAGUAAUGUCUGGGAAACUGCCUGAUGGCUGUGGAUAACUACUGGAAACGGUAGCUAAUCACGCAUCCCCUCAAAUGUGCCCAGAUGGGAUUAGCUAGGUGGUGGGGUAACGGCUCACCCAGGCGACGAUCCCUAGCUGGUCUGAGAGGAUGACCAGACACACUGGAACUGAGACACGGUCCAGACUCCUACGGGAGGCAGCAGUGGGGAAUAUUGCACAAUGGGCGCAAGCCUGAUGCAGCCAUGCCGCGUGUAUGAAGAAGGCCUUCGGGUGGUAAAGUACUUUCAGCGGGGAGGCGUUACCCGCAGAAGAAGCACCGGCUAACUCCGUGCCAGCAGCCGCGGUAAUAC
rnacentral:rRNA from 1 species